rnacentral:rRNA from 1 species
CGCGUGUAUGAAGAAGGCUUCGGGGUAUAAAGUACUUUCAGUUGUGAGGAAGGGUGUGUAGUUAAUAACUGCGCAUUUUGACGUUAGCAACAGAAGAAGCACCGGCUAACUCCGUGCCAGCAGCCGCGGUAAUACGGAGGGUGCGAGCGUUAAUCGGAAUUACUGGGCGUAAACGCGCAUGCAGGUGGUUUGUUAAGUCAGAUGUGAAAGCCCGGGGCUCAACCUCGGAAGGUCAUUUGAAACUGGCAAACUAGAGUACUGUAGAGGGGGGUAGAAUUUCAGGUGUAGCGGUAGAAAUGCGUAGAGAUCUGAAGGAAUACCAGUGGCGAAGGCGGCCCCCUGGACAGAUACUGACACUCAGAUGCGAAAGCGUGGGGAGCAAACAGGAUUAGAUACCCUGGAUAGUCCACGCCGUAAACGAUGUCUACUUGGAGGUUGUGGCCUUGAGCCGUGGCUUUCGGAGCUAACGCGUUAAGUAGACCGCCUGGGGAGUACGGUCGCAAGAUUUAAAACUCAAAUGAAUUGACGGGGGCCCGCACAAGCGGUGGAGCAUGUGG